UACGUAGGGUGCGAGCGUUGUCCGGAAUUAUUGGGCGUAAAGGGCUCGUAGGCGGUUUGUCGCGUCGGGAGUGAAAACCCAGGGCUUAACCCUGGGCUGGCUUCCGAUACGGGCAGACUAGAGGUAUGCAGGGGAGAACGGAAUUCCAGGUGUAGCGGUGAAAUGCGUAGAUAUCUGGAGGAACACCGGUGGCGAAGGCGACAUCCUGGACCGGUAUUGACGCUGAGGCGCGAAAGCUAGGGGAGCAAACAGG
rnacentral:rRNA from 1 species